UACGUAGGGGGCAAGCGUUGUCCGGAUUUAUUGGGCGUAAAGCGCGUGUAGGCGGCCACACAGGUCCGCUGUGAAAACCCGAGGCUCAACCUCGGGCCUGCAGUCGAUACGGGCAAACUAGAGUACUGCAGGGGAGACUGGAAUUCCUGGUGUAGCGGUGAAAUGCGCAGAUAUCAGGAGGAACACCGGUGGCGAAGGCGGGUCUCUGGGCCGAUACUGACGCUGAGGAGCGAAAGCGUGGGGAGCGAACAGG
rnacentral:rRNA from 1 species